rnacentral:rRNA from 1 species
GCAUUUCACUCAACUCUGUCCAUUAAUCAAGAACGAAAGUUAGCGGAUCGAAGACGAUCAGAUACCGUCCUAGUCCUAACUAUAGACGAUGUCAACCAAGCAUUGGAUGAAAUUCAGAUGUACAAAGAUAGAGAAGCAUUGUUUCUAGAU